GAUGAACGCUGGCGGCGUGCCUAAUACAUGCAAGUCGAGCGAACGGACGAGAAGCUUGCUUCUCUGAUGUUAGCGGCGGACGGGUGAGUAAAACGUGGAUAACCUACCUAUAAGACUGGGAUAACUUCGGGAAACCGGAGCUAAUACCUGAUAAUAUUUUGAACCGCAUGGUUCAAAAGUGAAAGACGGUCUUGCUGUCACUUAUAGAUGGAUCCGCGCUGCAUUAGCUAGUUGGUAAGGUAACGGCUUACCAAGGCAACGAUGCAUAGCCGACCUGAGAGGGUGAUCGGCCACACUGGAACUGAGACACGGUCCAGACUCCUACGGGAGGCAGCAGUAGGGAAUCUUCCGCAAUGGGCGAAAGCCUGACGGAGCAACGCCGCGUGAGUGAUGAAGGUCUUCGGAUCGUAAAACUCUGUUAUUAGGGAAGAACAUAUGUGUAAGUAACUGUGCACAUCUUGACGGUACCUAAUCAGAGAGCCACGGCUAACUACGUG
rnacentral:rRNA from 1 species